rnacentral:rRNA from 1 species
GACGAACGCUGGCGGCGUGCUUAACACAUGCAAGUCGAGCGGUAAGGCCCUUUCGGGGGUACACGAGCGGCGAACGGGUGAGUAACACGUGGGUGACCUGCCCUCAGCUCUGGGAUAAGCCUGGGAAACCGGGUCUAAUACCGGAUAUGACUCCAUGACGCAUGUUGUGGGGUGGAAAGCCUUGUGCGGCUGAGGAUGGGCCCGCGGCCUAUCAGCUUGUUGGUGGGGUGAUGGCCUACCAAGGCGACGACGGGUAGCCGGCCUGAGAGGGCGACCGGCCACACUGGGACUGAGACACGGCCCAGACUCCUACGGGAGGC